UCCUACGGGAGGCAGCAGUGGGGAAUAUUGCACAAUGGGCGGAAGCCUGAUGCAGCAACGCCGCGUGCGGGAUGACGGCCUUCGGGUUGUAAACCGCUUUCGCCUGUGACGAAGCGUGAGUGACGGUAAUGGGUAAAGAAGCACCGGCUAACUACGUGCCAGCAGCCGCGGUGAUACGUAGGGUGCGAGCGUUGUCCGGAUUUAUUGGGCGUAAAGGGCUCGUANGUGGUUGAUCGCGUCGGAAGUGUAAUCUUGGGGCUUAACCUGAGCGUGCUUUCGAUAC
rnacentral:rRNA from 1 species